CCGGUCAGACGCUUGCAGGAGGAUUGUGCGCAGGUGAUAAUCAUCACUGGAAGCCGGUUCGACAUGGUAGAGGAAGGUUGUGGGUCUCCUACUACUGUUCCUCAGAACUUCUGUAAUGAGUCUCCUACCGGACUAUUAUGUGGCAUGGAUGCGAUGAAAACCAAAGACCAGCCAAUAGCGAGCAAAAAAA